ACAACCGGGGCGCAGCGGGAGGCAUGGAGGAAACGCUCCAGCAGCCCAACCUCGCCAGGGCACCGCGCAGGAGAGGCGCGGCCUCAGGCAGGCCUGGGUCCAGCCCGGGCUCACCCCUCAUCGGCUGUGAGAUCCUGCCCCUUCCCCUCUCUGGCGUCCACCCUCUUAUCUGGAAUACCGGGACAGCGACCCUCCCACAGAGGAAAACGCCGCGUGCUGGCCGGGAGGACAGGGCCCAUCUUUGGCAGCUCUGAUCGCCCACGCCAGGAGCUCCUCAGGCACCAGCUGCCUGGUGCUCACAGGCGGGCAUCAAGAGAGGACCAUCAUUCCCCAUUUUACAGAUGGACAAACCAAGGCCACCUUCUCCUUCAUCACCUCAGUCUCGGCACAGUUCCAGGGAUGCCAGGGAGAAAGGCAGCUGUAGCCCAGGGCGAGGCUGAGAUGGAGCAAGAAGGCAGGGCCCAGAGCGGGCGUCCAGGCUGGAGCUCCCAGUGCUGGGAAGCCAAGACCUGAGCGAUAUCCCAUUGCCGGAACCAUCUUUGCUUCUGCUCACACCCUCCUGGUCGGCCAUUCAAUCAACAAACUCUAGCCAGCCCCGGCUCUGUGCUAGGCUUGAGCUCAGCCCAGCAGGGUGCAGAGCCCAUCCUCACCAGGCCCCACCCUCUCGGUGCCAAGGCGGGUGGGUGCCCGGGGGAGAAGAUGGAUGGACGACAGUUCUGUGAUGAGAUCUGAAAUUCAUUACGGGGUGAGAUCAGCUCCUUAAAUGGGGAUUUGAAAACAUUAGGGCUUCAUUAUGUACACAACGGCAGUGCCUCAUUCAUCAUGCAAAAAUCACUCCCGUUAUUAAAAAUCCCUGUGGCAGCUGCAUGCCGGGGCUUGGUGGCAUCGUGCCUGCUGGGGACAGAGCAGGAGCUCCACAGCCCUGCCUGGUCAAAGUUGUGGCCACGGGACAGGGGCCCCAAGUCCCAGCCUCCCUCUUACACAGGGGCCAGCUGCGGGGUGGGGCGGGAAGUGAGGUUCAGCUCCAGGGACUUAGUGCCUCAGUUUCUCCACCUGCAAAAUGGAGACGCUAAUGAUGCCUCCCAUAGGGCGGGGUGAGGGUGUAUGAGAUUCUUCAGGGAGAGGUUCAAAGGGUGCUGGUGGCCAUGUCGUAAGUACUGAGAAUGCCUGGCUGCCGUUGGCACCAUCAUCAACUGGGGUCAGGCAGGGGUGGCAGGAAGGCCUGGGGGCCUUUCCUUGGGGAAG
rnacentral:lncRNA from 1 species